rnacentral:lncRNA from 1 species
CUUCUCUCCUCCUUGGGCAGGGAGACCAUCGGGGUACAACCUGGCUGGGGCGGGGAGGAGGUGCAAGGCCUGGCCAGAGUGGGCCUGGCCACAGGCAAGGGACAGCGACCUCCUGGGCCAGGACAGGUGAGAGCGGCGCAGGCCCCAGCCCGGCGUGGCGGCGGUGCGCGGGAGAGGCCAGCAGAGGGCGCCAGGGAGCCAGGAGCGGCCCGCGGAAGGGCCCGCGCCGGCCCCGAUGCCCAGCUCCACGCUGCGCGGACCCACGGAGCCCUAGAUCAGACGCCCCAGCUCCACCGAGAGGACGCUGGCGCCGGGUGCUUCUUCUUCCCCAAGUGCAGGCAGAGCCCCCGGAUCCAAAGCCAGCCCUUCCGGCAGCUCCGAAGCCACUGGCAAGCCCCGAGGCAGGGAUAGCCGGCCCAGGAGGGAGGAGGACGACGUUCCUCCCGAAGAGAAGAGGCUGCGGCUGUUGCUGGUGGGGGGAAGCGCACAGCCCCAGGACUGCGAGGACGGGGAGGACGCGCCGCGGCCGGGCAGGGAGGAGACCGGCACCCAGACAGGUGGCGACGGCAGAGGAGAGGAAUUCUCCACGAGUUUUGAGCAGCCUCGGGUUUCCCACCACCUCCAAAUCAUGGAAGACACAGGGUAAGAGCAAAGACAAGGUGGCUGUGGCCGAUGUCCACCCUCUCGGGGUGUCCCUUGUCUUCUCUCCUCCUUGGUCAGGGAGACCACCGGGUUGCAACCUGGCUGGCGCGGGGAGGAGAUGCAGGGCCUGGCCAGAGCGGGCCUGGCCAAGGGCAAGGGCAAGGGACAGGGACCGCCUGGGCCUGA